CGUUUUAGAAACAUCAGUGGCCAACGAUCGUCAGGAUUGUUGAGCUGCAUUGGCGGGAUUUCGCCGUCUUCGUUUCUCUUUCUUCGCGGACGAACACGCGCUGGGCCUGCGAGAGCAGGGUCCCUGGUCCUUGACGGGAUAUGCGUUAGGGGCUUGUAGCUCAGUUGGUUAGAGCGCGCGCUUGAUAAGCGUGAGGUCGGAAGUUCAAGUCUUCCCAGGCCCACCACACUCAUCGGGUAAGCAUUCGUCUUCUGGUUACGGGGCCAUAGCUCAGCUGGGAGAGCGCGUGCUUUGCAAGCAUGAGGUCGUCGGUUCGAUCCCGUCUGGCUCCACCAGAUGGUUUGAUCACCGAGGCUGUGUUUGCAGGUAUUCAACCGUCGUCCGCGAAACAUCACUUCGCACCUGCUAGUCUGGAUAGACAGUGAGGUUGCGUGAUUUCUGACAUCGUAAAGAGGAGAUCGAUCCGAGUUGGAUCGGGCAGCAAGCAAUUGCUGCGCGAACCUUCAUUAUCUCCGGAUCAUUUCGGCGCUCGCGCGCCUUUCAAUGCGGCUCACAAGGCUGCGUCUGAAGGGAAUGCGGGUUGUAAAUGAUCCUUUUAGCGAAGCUUGACCGCCUCGCUAUCGGAACGAUCUUACGAAGCAAGCUGGUCUUUCUAAUCAUUGUCCGGCUGUACGUAGCGUUCAUCGAGGGCGCGUGCCGUAAGGCAAUCGUACAGACAACAUUCUGCCGAGUGUGUGGACAUUGAUAAUGAGAGCAAUCAAGUGCCUUAAGGGUGUUCGGUG
rnacentral:tRNA from 2 species